rnacentral:sRNA from 1 species
AUGCAGCUGAGCCGCGCCGCCGCCGCCGCCGCCGCCGCCCCUGCGGAGCCCCCGGAGCCGCUGUCCCCCGCGCCGGCCCCGGCCCCGGCCCCCCCCGGCCCCCUCCCGCGCAGCGCGGCCGACGGGGCUCCGGCGGGGGGGAAGGGGGGCCGGGGCGCCGCGCGGAGUCCCCGGGCGCUCCGUUCCCCGGCGCGAGCGGCCCCGGCCCGGGCCCCGGCGCGGGGAUGGACGGCCCCGGGGCCAGCGCCGUGGUCGUGCGCGUCGGCAUCCCGGACCUGCAGCAGACGAAGUGCCUGCGCCUGGACCCGGCCGCGCCCGUGUGGGCCGCCAAGCAGCGCGUGCUUUGCGCCCUCAACCACAGCCUCCAGGACGCGCUCAACUAUGGGCUUUUCCAGCCGCCCUCCCGGGGCCGCGCCGGCAAGUUCCUGGAUGAGGAGCGGCUCCUGCAGGAGUACCCGCCCAACCUGGACACGCCCCUGCCCUACCUGGAGUUUCGAUACAAGCGGCGAGUUUAUGCCCAGAACCUCAUCGAUGAUAAGCAGUUUGCAAAGCUUCACACAAAGGCGAACCUGAAGAAGUUCAUGGACUACGUCCAGCUGCAUAGCACGGACAAGGUGGCACGCCUGUUGGACAAGGGGCUGGACCCCAACUUCCAUGACCCUGACUCAGGAGGUGAGGAGUGGAGUCGGGGAGGGUCAUGGCCUUUGCGCGGCUGGGAGCCUGACCCUUAUCUGUCUGUGAACCCAGAGUGCCCCCUGAGCCUCGCAGCCCAGCUGGACAACGCCACGGACCUGCUAAAGGUGCUGAAGAAUGGCGGUGCCCACCUGGACUUCCGCACUCGUGAUGGGCUCACUGCCGUGCACUGUGCCACACGCCAGCGGAAUGCGGCAGCACUGACGACCCUGCUGGACCUGGGGGCUUCACCUGACUACAAGGACAGCCGCGGCUUGACACCCCUCUACCACAGCGCCCUGGGGGGUGGGGAUGCCCUCUGCUGUGAGCUGCUUCUCCACGACCACGCUCAGCUAGGGACCACCGACGAGAAUGGCUGGCAGGAGAUCCACCAGGCCUGCCGCUUUGGGCACGUGCAGCAUCUGGAGCACCUGCUGUUCUAUGGGGCAGACAUGGGGGCCCAGAACGCCUCGGGGAACACAGCCCUGCACAUCUGUGCCCUCUACAACCAGGAGAGCUGUGCUCGUGUCCUGCUCUUCCGUGGAGCUAACAGGGAUGUCCGCAACUACAACAGCCAGACAGCCUUCCAGGUGGCCAUCAUCGCAGGGAACUUUGAGCUUGCAGAGGUUAUCAAGACCCACAAAGACUCGGAUGUUGUACCAUUCAGGGAAACCCCCAGCUAUGCGAAGCGGCGGCGACUGGCUGGCCCCAGUGGCUUGGCAUCCCCUCGGCCUCUGCAGCGCUCAGCCAGCGAUAUCAACCUGAAGGGGGAGGCACAGCCAGCAGCUUCUCCUGGACCCUCGCUGAGAAGCCUCCCCCACCAGCUGCUGCUCCAGCGGCUGCAAGAGGAGAAAGAUCGUGACCGGGAUGCCGACCAGGAGAGCAACAUCAGUGGCCCUUUAGCAGGCAGGGCCAGCCAAAGCAAGAUCAGCCCCGCGCCCCCUGCGCCCCCCGCACCGCCGCCCCGGGGCCCGAAGCGGAAACUUUACAGCGCCGUCCCCGGCCGCAAGUUCAUCGCCGUGAAGGCGCACAGCCCGCAGGGUGAAGGCGAGAUCCCGCUGCACCGCGGCGAGGCCGUAAAGGUGCUCAGCAUUGGGGAGGGCGGUUUCUGGGAGGGAACCGUGAAGGGCCGCACGGGCUGGUUCCCGGCCGACUGCGUGGAGGAAGUGCAGAUGAGGCAGCAUGACACACGGCCUGAAACGCGGGAGGACCGGACGAAGCGGCUCUUUCGGCACUACACAGUGGGCUCCUACGACAGCCUCACCUCACACAGCGAUUAUGUCAUUGAUGACAAAGUGGCUGUCCUGCAGAAACGGGACCACGAGGGCUUUGGUUUUGUGCUCCGAGGAGCCAAAGCAGAGACCCCCAUCGAGGAGUUCACGCCCACGCCAGCCUUCCCGGCGCUGCAGUAUCUCGAGUCGGUGGACGUGGAGGGUGUGGCCUGGAGGGCCGGGCUGCGCACGGGAGACUUCCUCAUCGAGGUGAACGGGGUGAACGUGGUGAAGGUCGGACACAAGCAGGUGGUGGCUCUGAUUCGCCAGGGUGGCAACCGCCUCGUCAUGAAGGUUGUGUCUGUGACAAGGAAGCCAGAAGAGGACGGGGCUCGGCGCAGAGCCCCACCGCCCCCCAAGAGGGCCCCCAGCACCACACUGACCCUGCGCUCCAAGUCCAUGACAGCUGAGCUCGAGGAACUUGCCUCCAUUCGGAGAAGAAAAGGGGAGAAGCUGGACGAGAUGCUGGCAGCCGCCGCAGAGCCAACGCUGAGGCCAGACAUCGCAGACGCAGACUCCAGAGCCGCCACCGUCAAACAGAGACCCACCAGUCGGAGGAUCACACCCGCCGAGAUUAGCUCAUUGUUUGAACGCCAGGGCCUCCCAGGCCCAGAGAAGCUGCCGGGCUCCUUGCGGAAGGGGAUUCCACGGACCAAGUCUGUAGGGGAGGACGAGAAGCUGGCGUCCCUGCUGGAAGGGCGCUUCCCGCGGAGCACCUCGAUGCAAGACCCGGUGCGCGAGGGUCGCGGCAUCCCGCCCCCGCCGCAGACCGCGCCGCCUCCCCCGCCCGCGCCCUACUACUUCGACUCGGGGCCGCCCCCGGCCUUUUCGCCGCCGCCCCCGCCGGGCCGCGCCUACGACACGGUGCGCUCCAGCUUCAAGCCCGGCCUGGAGGCGCGCCUGGGCGCGGGCGCUGCCGGCCUGUACGAGCCGGGCGCGGCCCUCGGCCCGCUGCCGUAUCCCGAGCGGCAGAAGCGCGCGCGCUCCAUGAUCAUCCUGCAGGACUCGGCGCCCGAGUCGGGCGACGCCCCUCGACCCCCGCCCGCGGCCACCCCGCCCGAGCGACCCAAGCGCCGGCCGCGGCCGCCCGGCCCCGACAGCCCCUACGCCAACCUGGGCGCCUUCAGCGCCAGCCUCUUCGCUCCGUCCAAGCCGCAGCGCCGCAAGAGCCCCCUGGUGAAGCAGCUGCAGGUGGAGGACGCGCAGGAGCGCGCGGCCCUGGCCGUGGGCAGCCCCGGUCCCGGCGGCGGCAGCUUCGCCCGCGAGCCCUCCCCGACCCACCGCGGUCCGCGCCCGGGUGGCCUCGAUACGGCGCGGGCGAUGGCCCGGGGCUCGCGUUCGGCGGCCCGGGCCCGGCCAAGGACCGGCGGCUGGAGGAGCGGCGCCGCUCCACUGUGUUUCUGUCCGUGGGUGCCAUCGAGGGCAGCGCCCCCAGCGCGGAUCUGCCAUCCCUACAGCCCUCCCGCUCCAUCGACGAGCGCCUCCUGGGGACCGGCCCCACCGCCGGCCGCGACCUGCUGCUGCCCUCCCCGGUGUCUGCUCUGAAGCCAUUGGUCAGCGGCCCGAGCCUUGGGCCCUCGGGUUCCACCUUCAUCCACCCACUCACCGGCAAACCCCUGGACCCCAGCUCACCCCUGGCCCUUGCCCUGGCUGCCCGAGAGCGAGCUCUGGCCUCCCAGGCGCCCUCCCGGUCCCCCACACCCGUGCACAGUCCCGACGCCGACCGCCCCGGACCCCUGUUUGUGGAUGUACAGGCCCGGGACCCAGAGCGAGGGUCCCUGGCUUCCCCAGCUUUCUCCCCACGGAGCCCAGCCUGGAUUCCUGUGCCUGCUCGCAGGGAGGCAGAGAAGGUCCCCCGGGAGGAGCGGAAGUCACCCGAGGACAAGAAGUCCAUGAUCCUCAGCGUCCUGGACACAUCCCUGCAGCGGCCAGCUGGCCUCAUUGUUGUGCACGCCACCAGCAACGGGCAGGAGCCCAGCAGGCUGGGGGGGGCCGAAGAGGAGCGCCCGGGCACCCCGGAGUUGGCCCCGGCCCCCAUGCAGUCAGCGGCUGUGGCAGAGCCCCUGCCCAGCCCCCGGGCCCAGCCCCCUGGUGGCACCCCGGCAGACGCCGGGCCAGGCCAGGGCAGCUCAGAGGAAGAGCCAGAGCUGGUGUUUGCUGUGAACCUGCCACCUGCCCAGCUGUCGUCCAGCGAUGAGGAGACCAGGGAGGAGCUGGCCCGAAUUGGGUUGGUGCCACCCCCUGAAGAGUUUGCCAACGGGGUCCUGCUGGCCACCCCACUCGCUGGCCCAGGCCCCUCGCCUACCACGGUGCCCAGCCCGGCCUCAGGGAAGCCCAGCAGUGAGCCACCCCCUGCCCCUGAGUCUGCAGCCGACUCUGGGGUGGAGGAGGCUGACACACGCAGCUCCAGCGACCCCCACCUGGAGACCACAAGCACCAUCUCCACGGUGUCCAGCAUGUCCACCUUGAGCUCGGAGAGCGGGGAACUCACUGACACCCACACCUCCUUCGCUGACGGACACACUUUUCUACUCGAGAAGCCACCAGUGCCUCCCAAGCCCAAGCUCAAGUCCCCGCUGGGGAAGGGGCCGGUGACCUUCAGGGACCCGCUGCUGAAGCAGUCCUCGGACAGCGAGCUCAUGGCCCAGCAGCACCACGCCGCCUCUGCCGGGCUGGCCUCUGCCGCCGGGCCUGCCCGCCCUCGCUACCUCUUCCAGAGAAGGUCCAAGCUAUGGGGGGACCCCGUGGAGAGCCGGGGGCUCCCUGGGCCUGAAGACGACAAACCAACUGUGAUCAGUGAGCUCAGCUCCCGCCUGCAGCAGCUGAACAAGGACACGCGUUCCCUGGGGGAGGAACCAGUUGGUGGCCUGGGCAGCCUGCUGGACCCUGCCAAGAAGUCGCCCAUCGCAGCAGCUCGAUGUCGAUCCCCCAUGGUCGGGCUCAGGCUCUUCAGCAGCCUCGGUGAGCUGAGCUCCAUUUCAGCGCAGCGCAGCCCCGGGGGCCCGGGCGGCGGGGCCUCGUACUCGGUGAGGCCCAGUGGCCGCUACCCCGUGGCGAGACGCGCCCCGAGCCCGGUGAAGCCCGCGUCGCUGGAGCGGGUGGAGGGGCUGGGGGCGGGCGCGGGGGGCGCAGGGCGGCCCUUCGGCCUCACGCCCCCCACCAUCCUCAAGUCGUCCAGCCUCUCCAUCCCGCACGAGCCCAAGGAGGUGCGCUUCGUGGUGCGCAGCGUGAGCGCGCGCAGUCGCUCCCCCUCGCCGUCGCCGCUGCCCUCGCCCGCGUCCGGCCCUGGCCCUGGCGCCCCCGGCCCACGCCGACCCUUCCAGCAGAAGCCGCUGCAGCUCUGGAGCAAGUUCGACGUGGGCGACUGGCUGGAGAGCAUCCACCUAGGCGAGCACCGCGACCGCUUCGAGGACCAUGAGAUAGAAGGCGCGCACCUACCCGCGCUUACCAAGGACGACUUCGUGGAGCUGGGCGUCACGCGCGUGGGCCACCGCAUGAACAUCGAGCGCGCGCUCAGGCAGCUGGACGGCAGCUGACGCCCCACCCCCACUCCCGCCCCGGCCGUGCCCUGCCGGCAGGGCCCCCCCCCCCCACCCCGGGCCGCGGGCUCGGCCUGCCCCUUACGACGGCGCCCGGGCCAGGAAUGUUGCAUGAAUCGUCCUGUUUGCUGUUGCUCGGAGACUCGCCCUGUACAUUGCUUAGUGCCCUCACCGGCCGCCCAGCCCACCCAGCACACAGUCAGGAAGGGCGUGGACCAGGGAGGCUGGGGCGGGAGGUGCCGGGGGUGGGGUGCUCUAGCGUGACCACCUCCUUCGCAGCUCCUGGUGGCCAUUCUCCCAGAGGGGGAACCUAGUCCAGCAUGCGAGGUCAGGACCCGCCUUGGUGACUCGGGGGGAGGGGGGAGACAUUGGGAUUCUCGAUGGGGGCCAAGGAGCCCCCCUGUUUUGCAUAUUUUAAUCCACUCUAUAUUUGGAACGAGAAAAGGAACAAAUAUCUCUGUCCGUAAUAGUUUCCUCUCCCCUCCCUUCUACUUCCACUGGUCCCACUGCAGCUGCCCAGUCUUCCAUCUCCGGCCCCUCACUGCCACUGCCACCCCACAACGGGGCAGGGGACGCUCCAGCUGGUCUGGGGUUGGCCAGGGCCCUAGUGGCCCCGCCCUGGGGCCCCAGCUCGGCCCCUCCCCUCGCUGAGCUCUAGUGUGCCCCACCGACCCUUCAGGUGCUGCUCGUGGUGGGAGGGGCGGCAGGCCGCGGGUCCUGCUGUGCACCCGCGGGACCAGCCGGCCUGGGAGACCAUCGGCCGGGGGGGGGGGGAUGAGGGCAGGGCCCUGCCGCUCCACCGCAGCCAUCUUCCUCACAGGGUCUCUCCCCAAGGAGGGGGCUAGCUUGGUCCCCAUGCUCUUGGGCAACUACAGCAGAGAAGCCUCCCUGCCUUGGACCCCAAAGUCUCCUGUCCUGCCCUUUAUGUGUGUGGGUGAAACUGGGUGCGUCUGAGCACGUGGGAGCCAUGUGUGUGCCUGAUUACUGAGUGGCCACCAGGGGCCGCUCUGGACUAGCGCGGGGCCGUGGAGGCGUGCACAGUGUGCAUGCAUGGGGUGUGCCUGUGAGAGCACCCUGUCUCCUCUUCCAAAGAAAGUCAGAGGCCAUCCUGCACCCUGGGUCCAGCUGUUUGCCCAGCCUGUCCUUCCAGAGCCUCACCCAGCCUGAGCGGGGUUCCCUGGUGAAUCCCUGCUGCUUGGGGAGGCCCCAAGGGCCCCUUGGAGGCAGCGCCCCCACCUUGGGCUUCUGAGGGCAUCAUAGGGGGACCCCUAGAGUCAGUUCACCACAGGCCCUGGGGAGAGUCAAAGACCCUCGAGGGUGCCCAGCCCCCCACACUGUGACUCCUCACACUCAGCGAUGGCCUGUGGGGUGGGGGGCCCUGGGACGUUUUUAAACCUAGGGUUUGGAGUCUGGACUAAGCUCCAUCCACGUCACUCACAAGUUUCUGUUUAUAUUUCUAGCUUUUUUUAAUAAAAUAAAAAAAAAAAGAAAACAGAAGUUUUCACAACCCAGGGGCCUGGCACGCCGGUCUGUGCCUGCCCGCCCCGCCCUGGCCCACCGGCCCCACUCCCUGGGCACAGAGUCACACCCACUCACCCUUCCGCCAACAGUCCAGGUCACACAGCAGCAGUCACUGUAACAGACUGCCACAUACACACUCGGUCUCACACUCACCUGUGGGUUUUGGUUCCGUUCAAUUUGGGUUUUUAACUUUACAGGGUCAGUUCCGCUUCACCUCCUUUUGUAUGGAGUUCCAUCUGGGGGUUUUCACCCCCUGCUCCAGUCCUGAGGCCUCCUGACCCUGACGUUGUGAUACGCCCCACAGAGAUCUAUGUUUCUUAUAUUAUUAUUAUUGAUAAUAAUUAUUAUAAUAUUAUUAUGUAAUAAAUUUAUAAGAAAUGAAGCCAUGGCUCAGUUGCCUGCUUGAGGGGAUAUUUGUGUCUGUCCCUCAUACCAGCCACACAAACCUCCUCAGCCUGGACCACAUGC